rnacentral:lncRNA from 1 species
UGUUUUUGAGAUUUACAGGGACAUUCAAUUGUCAAUUUGUACCACACCUGCUUCCAGACCUCCUGCUGCAGUGUUUAGAAGUGUCCACUUGUUGUCUGAAACCUGAAGCCACCUUUAUUCCAGGAGCAAGAGAGCCUUGGAGAGCAGAUAACCCCAGGAAGAGAUUGCCUCCUCCAUGUGGACGCAAUCACUCCGUGAGGGAGAUGGAGGCUGUCAUCUCACGCAGUCAUCUCAUGGGAAGUGGACUGUCCCCUCAACCCGUUUCAAAGGGAUUAUGAAGUCCCCUCAGUGCUGAGGAUGGGAGAGAAACAUGCAUGUGCGUUUUGCUGCUUUGUCCCAGAAGAAUCAAAGUCAUCUCCAGUCCUGCUUUGUUGGUCAUCUCUUAGUUUUUAGAAUCCCAUGUCCCUUGUACUUUGCUACCUACUAGCAAUCUCUUCCUCACUCUGAAUUUCUCCCCUGUCCUUUCAGCAGACUUAACACCAAAUUCCUGUUCAUUUCUCAUCCAAAGCAGUUAUUUUUUGUUUUCCUUAUGCCAGGCUAAC